rnacentral:rRNA from 1 species
GAUGAACGCUGGCGGCGUGCCUAAUACAUGCAAGUCGAGCGAACGGACGAGAAGCUUGCUUCUCUGAUGUUAGCGGCGGACGGGUGAGUAACACGUGGAUAACCUACCUAUAAGACUGGGAUAACUUCGGGAAACCGUAGCUAAUACCGGAUAAUAUUUUGAACCGCAUGGUUCAAAAGUGAAAGACGGUCUUGCUGUCACUUAUAGAUGGAUCCGCGCUGCAUUAGCUAGUUGGUAAGGUAACGGCUUACCAAGGCAACGAUGCAUAGCCGACCUGAGAGGGUGGUCGGCCACACUGGAACUGAGACACGGUCCAGACUCCUACGGGAGGCAGCAGUAGGGAAUCUUACGCAAUGGGCGAAAGCCUGACGGAGCAACGCCGCGUGAGUGAUGAAGGUCUUCGGAGCGUAAAACUCUGUUAUUAGGGAAGAACAUAUGUGUAAGUAGCUGUGCACAUCUUGACGGUACCUAGUCAGAAAGCAACGGCUAACUACGUG